CGCGGGGUGGAGUAGUGGUUGCUCAAUGGCCUCAUAAGCCGUUUACGCAGGUUCGAAUCCUGCCCCCGCUACCA
rnacentral:tRNA from 1 species